UCAGCAUAUUUGGGUUCUCUUAUUACUCUCCUACCAUUCUUUUAUGACCUUCAUCAAGACAUGCUCCAAUUUUCAAAUGUCAAUUUGGGUUAGGGUGGAGUUUUCUGUUGUUGUUUUAAGAGGAACUGAGCACCUACAAAUUGUGGUGUUGAGUGAGAAGCCUGCAGUGCUUUGUUCAUCUGGAAGCCCCUCCCAGCGAGGCAGAGGGCAGUGAAGGGGCACGUCAGACCUUGGACCUUUGCCUUUUUGCCACCCAGAUUUUCAAAUGAUGGUAGUUGCUCACCAAGCCACGCAGCUGUGGCACUGAUGUUGCUUGUGUUAGUGUUUUGACACACCUUAAGUACUGUGGUAUUUAUUAGAAUUUAUUAAUGUUUAUUGAUAUUUAUUAAUUUUGGUUUGACAUAACAAAAUAGAAAAGGAAUACAUAAAGCCAGUAGCUUGAGGAGCUUAAAGGAGCACUUGCAUUUUGACUUUUUGUUUGUUUGUUUUCCUUAUGCUGCUCUGCAAAUAGCGGACAAACUCUAGUUUUCCCUAGGGAAAAAUUUAAGAGUCUUUAAUGUAGUCUUCUCUCUCCCUUCUGAAUUCUGGAAGUUGCCCACCCAUGAGAAACUCUCUAAAAGGCGAUGUGUGUGCAGCGUGGGGCACAGUAUGUUUCAGUUUCCUUUUUUCUUUUUCCUUUAAGAGGGCUAAAUAAUGGCAAGUGAAAGGCACUUCUCUCUCCUCCCCCCUUUUUUAAUUCCCUUUUCUGUAUAAAUCUAAAACCCAAGAAAAAUAGGAAGCACAAGUAGGCCAUAUAUUAACAAGUGUGUCUUGGAGAAAGCAUUGGAGAAUAUAUGUGUGUUUUAUAAGGUCUUAAACAGGAAGUGGCUUCAGAAGUAACUGUGUAGAACAAGGAGAACCAUCUUCAUUUGACCUCCUGCGUGACAAACUAAUGGAUUUCAUUCAUUCAGUUUAUGCAUCAAGGCAGUAACUUCUAGUGAAGCAGCAGCUGAUUUGGAAAGAUCCAGUCUGGGAAUUUGAGCAAGAAGGCCACUGGUUAGAUCUGUUUAGAGGAAAACAAUUGUUCCACUUCCACCUGAGCCCUGAAGAAGUCUUCACAUCAGAUCAGUUUCUAAUACCAAAACCACGCCUGACUUGACUCAUUAAUUUAUUUUACAGUAAUACAGCAGCUUAUAGUGCUUUAAAACUUGAGCUGACGACAUCACAGAAAUCCCAGAGAAAAUGAAAAGUAAUGGUUUGAUGAGAGAUACACCUGUCUGAAAAAAAGAAAGAUGGCAAGGCAGCAUCAGUCAAGAUGGUUUUGUGUAGACACAAGACAUUCAGAUAUCUCUAAUAUGUUUGACUUGGUCCCACAUGGCAUUCCUGUAAAAUUAGCAUUAUAAAUCUUAAUAUUAAAAGAGGAUGUUUAAUGUUCCGUGCUGAGUAGCCUAAUAGGCAGAAAAAGCAACACAAAUGAUGAUAACGUAGCACUUACUUUGCCUAACAUAAAUUGUCAAAUGUCACAAUGAGGUAGAAUUUAGAGAACCAAUUUCUCUGCCUUAAAACACAAGUUAUAAACAGAACAGAAAACUCUCUACUCUUAACUUAGAUUAGCUGUCUACAUGAGACAUUUAAGUCAAAUUAACUGCAGAUGGGGAAGUAAGAAGGCCCUAAACUCCAGUGUGAAUGUUUUAGGAUUAAACCUUUCAGAAUUAAAUGUAAAGGAAACUGGGGAUAUUUUGUCUGUAAAAGAGCAUCAACACAGGGAUUUGGUGGGCUUUAACUAAUGCAAUUUAAUGUCGCACCUUUACUUAAUUCAUCUUCAUCUUUCCCAAAUGUCCCACUGCAGCCAAGUUCUUUAGUUUCAAGUAUUAGGGUGGAUCUAAUUUGAAAGAUAUCAUUAGCUGAAGCAUUAGCUAAAGGCUUGCCGAUAUGGGAAGGUUAGUCAGUGCAGGGGAACCAGCUACUUAAUAUCUGCUUUGUGUCAAUAGUCUUAGUUUACUUUAAAGUGUCGUAGGCUGCAUCACACCACCUAACAUGCAAUGAGAGUUUAUGCAGAGCAACUGCUCUAUUUUAAAUUCAGAUUCACACCUCUUUACGAGUCUAAGAUUUACCCAAUUAAAAGCAAGACUCAAGAUUCAAAGAGCAGGUAGGAGACCAGAUUGCCAUGCAGUGAUAAUGACGGGAGAUUAAUACUUAUUAACCAAAAGUUCAAAGUUAAGACAGGAAAACUAAAUAAAUAAAUAAAUAAGCCAAGCCUCUUGGAGAUGACAUGGAAACUCCUCAAAACAAUGAAACCCAAGAGGUUGCACCUUCCCAGGGUGACAAGGAUGAAGCCAUUAUUCUAAAUGGCAUGUUUCCAUGCAUUAUUUGAGCCAGUAGGAAAGCCAACAGAGUGUAGAAAUCUGAAUCUAUGAAAACCAGUAAAAAGGAACAUCUCAAAUUUCGGUUGGCAGCGACAAAAGGGAAAAUGAGAAGGGCACAAGUGGACCUUGAAUAUGAAAAUGGGAAUGAGUCUCAAAGUGAAGAAGUAAAAAAGCCGUAAAAGGUUAGAAUUAGAACUUAUAAAUAGCUCAACACAGCAAAAAAGGAAGGGUAUAGGGUUUUGCAGUCUCAUAAUAAAAAACACCAUAUAGUUGCUCUCCCUUUACUGGUCUCCUCUGGUAGUACUCUCAAAAAUAGCAUCAGAACAAUAAAGAAACAUUGGAACAAGAGGGCAACUAACCAUUCUCCAAAUCACAUAGAGCAUAUCCAUGACUGUCAGAAGCUGGAACAAUGGGGCUGCCAGCAAAGCUAUGGAGCCACACAUCUUGACCUGAAAAUCAGUCAGAAUGGUCUUUCAAAAUAUUUGAAAGGUCAUGUUAUGGCAAGUAAGGUUUUGUAAAUGAAAAUAAGAUCUCACUAAUCUCUUAGAAUUAAUGAUUGUAUCAGUAAGGUAAGGAAUAAAGGAAAAACUAAGCUUACUUUGUCUUGCAGAAUAUAUUUGACAAUUUACAGUGUCAGAACUUGUCCAGGAGACAGAAGGCAGAGAGGAGGCUUAGGUGGUCACUUUUCAUCAGGGCAUCGGGUUAACUACAAAGGCCUCAGCCUUCCCUCCUAAACCCAUUUCGUGUUGGUUGUUACAGUACAGAUUGGGAAAAGACAAAUGCUGAACUAGGAUAUGCUAGAUAUAAAUAGGAAACAUAGGUAUGAAUUUAUGAAGUUAACCAGGCCUCAGAGGGGACUAAAGGAAACUUCAGAGACCUUCAAAAAAGCUAGAUGAAUGGACAAUGUAAUUGCCAAGGAAGUUCAUUAUAUCUGCAUGGAGUUAUGCAUUUAGGAGAAAAGGGAAACUGCUAACAUACCUUACAAGUGAAAAAUGGCUAAGGAACAGCUUCAGGUGGGAGGUCCUUGGCAGGGAAAAGCAAGAAGGUAAAGCUGCUGAUAAGUAAUUUUCUCAGGUGCCUUUCUCAUAAAAGGAGAAAUGGACUAGAAGAAAUUUCUCUAAGGCCAAUGCCAGCUAAUUAUUAAAACCUUCUUGAAAUUAGUUAUGACUGAUUUUUCUUUCAAGAUACAAGGAUGUACUGCAUGGCAUUGCUCAGGAGUUGUACCAGACUAUUCAAUGGUUCAACUGGAUAAUGAAGACUGCUAAAUUUUCAGAUUGCACCAAUCUGGAGAUGGCUGCAAGAACGGCUGGGGUCCAGGUUCAGGUUCAGCCUCCUCUUGAGAGUCUAAGAGUAAGCUGGAGACGAUGGAGCUCAGCUCAGUAAGGACAGAGGAAAGGACCUGCACUGAAUCUACAGCGGAGCUACAGGACAGCAAUAUUUCAGAAAAUGGUUUAGUAGGGCAGUAUGGUUGUUCACGAGCUACACAUGAACUGAUCUGCACACCAUGCUGUGAUGUAUGGACUGGCUUAUACCUCUUAAGACACAAAGGGAUCAUUUCCAUUCAGUCUACACAGUGGUGUUAAGAUUUCACCUAGAGGUAUUAUGUCUGGUUUGGGGCAUGAAACUCAGGAAAGCCAUGGCCCAGUCAGAAAGGACAGUAAGAAUGAUAAGAGAUCUAGAAAAUAUGACCAAAACACCUGGGUGAACUGCAGUUGUUCCUAAGGAGAAUGCUAAAGGGGAAACAUGAUGAAAGUCUUCAAAUAUGUAACAGGCCAUUGCACAGACAAGUGGAAAAAGCUUUCCCUGCCCAUGGGAGGUAUAUAGGAUGUAAAUUGCAGCAAGAAAGCUUCAGGUUAGGUAUUUUUCUGUCUUUCUAAUAGCAAAGGUCACAAAACAUUGGGAUAGCCUGUAGGGCUGUGGAGUCUCCAGAGGUCUUUAGGAACAGAUUGGACAAAUAUACAAGGAAUGCUUUAGGAAGUAACCUAGAUCAUUGCCUUUGCCCCCAAGUGUCACCCAGCCUUGUUUGCUGUUGUGCAACAGAAAGCUCAACAACUCCAUCCUUUCAGUACGCAGAUAAAAUAGGGUGAAGAAAAUAAGAUAGACUAUCUUGACACAGAUCUGUGGUACAACCUCAAGCAGACUGCUGUGGUUCAGCCAUCUCCAGCCAUCUCAAAGAGACUGGGAACUUCAGAGGAUUCAAAGAAAAGCAACAAGUAGGAUCAAGGGCAUGGCAAUUCACAAAAGAUUGAAAAGAUUGGGAUUAUUAUCUUCAGAGAAAAACAAGGGAGAGAGAAUAAAAGUACAUGAAGUAAUGUCUGGUACAGACUGAUCAGGAAGUUCUCUUUUUCCUGUCUGAUACUGUGGAAUAAAGGGACCUUCUGUGAACUAUAAAACUAAAGGUAGGAUAUUUAAAACUGAAAAAUAAAAAUUAAAAAAAAAAAAAACCCCAAAAAAAAACCAACCAAGCAAAAAAAAACCAACCCCCAAAAAACCCAACAAACAACAAAAAAAGCCCACAACACCAAAGGAAUUACACAACAAGAGAUUGAAGUGGGGAACUUCUCUGCUAUGGUACAUUCAAAGCAUUGAUACUAGAUCCAAAAGGAUUCAGAAAGAAAAUGUCUUACCAACAUAGGUACAUGAAACUCCAUGAACUCUACAAAAAGAGUCUGGGUCAACUUGCCUGCUUUGCACCACACUCUGCUGUCCAUUCAUGGCUGCACUCCAUCCCUCUACAGCUGUUCCAGAGAGAAACGACACAAGUCCCUGAAGGAAGGAUGCUCAGCCUUCUGCCACCAGCUGCAGUGCUCCCACCAGUGUGGGGACCAAGGCAAGAGCCACCAAACCCAUCCCAGCCAGCAGCCCCCUAAACCACAGGGUAGUCCCGCCACAAACCCAGCGUAGCUGCUUGCUGGUGCAGAAGGGGCGUGCAAUAAGGGAAAGCAGCCAAAAAGCUGAAGUUGCUGUUUUAAAAGACAGCAAAGGGGACAAAAAGAAAGACUGCUUGUUUUUAAGAGGCCACUAUUCAUCCUCGUAGGCUGGGGACUGGCUGGUCGUACUUGCACAUCGCUGAAAGAACAGAAGACAGGUCUAAUCCAAGUCCUUUCUGUCUUGGGUAUCUGACGUGUCCUGAGCCAAAAACACUGCUUUGCCUCAAACAGGCUUCAUAAAGUCAUGGCUUUGUUAUCAUCCUACAAAAACUGACCUUGUGUAUCAGGGAGGUGCAUCCAGCUAUUUCUGUAUGUCUGGUUUAUCCAGUAAUGAACAAACAGUGACAAAGGAUCUCCAACCCGGAUGACAACAUUGUACCUAUAAACAGAAGAGUAAAGGUCUUCAUUGCAAAGUCUUACCAAAAGUUAACUUAACAAACCUAUUUAGUACUUAAUAACUCCAACCGUUAAAAUUUUCAAUGCAGUUGUUUUUUAACAUGAGAGCUAGUAAUGUAACAACACCAGGCUACUUUCACCUAACAGCACUGAUGUGGUUUUGAAAUUGUACAUGACUUGCAAGCAGCUUGAUGGAAGAGCACCAUCUCUCCUGGUCUAGAGCUUACAGGCUGUAGAGCAUCACAGCUGGCAUGGCAUUUGUGAAGUCCCUUUCACACUGACAUAAGCCUCCAGAAGGCUUCAGGAGGAAUAAGGAGAACCAGCCGUGUCCUGCAGGCAAGACCCUGAAGAAGGAUAGCACAUCCUCACGUUUUGUGCCCUGGCAGAUUCAGAAAGCCUGGGAGGUCGGUCAGCAAGCCGACCCAUACAAUGCCAGCUCAGAAGGCCUCCGGAACAGUGAUUACUGCCUGCUUGGGAAAAUCCAGGGAGCUUGGCUGAGCCUUAAGGACAACCUAAAAUGAAAGUGGUCAAAAGAACAUCAAAACGGUUGACUGUGGGCUGGGGAUAUCCCAGACAAUAAAGGCUGUUUGGCAAUUGCUGCUUUCCAUCUGCAAAGCAGAUGAGACUUCAAUGCUAAGGAUAAUUUAAAAGUCAAAUAAAUGAUUUAAAAUGGCUUGUAAUAAAUAAACCCGUGUUUCUUUUAAA